rnacentral:misc_RNA from 1 species
AAGUCGUAACAAGGUCUCCGUAGGUGAACCUGCGGAGGGAUCAUUACAGAGCUCAUGCCCUAACGGGUAGAUCUCCCACCCUAUGUUAUCAUUACCAUGUUGCUUUGGCGGGCCGUCAGGCUCACGCUCGGCUACCGGCUCCGGCUGGUAAGCGCCCGCCAGAGGUUAUAAACCCUAGAAUCUCUGCUGUCUGAGUACUAUACAAUAGUUAAAA